rnacentral:rRNA from 1 species
AGUGAACGCUGGCGGUAGGCCUAACACAUGCAAGUCGAACGGCAGCACAGUAAGAGCUUGCUCUUCCGGGUGGCGAGUGGCGGACGGGUGAGGAAUACAUCGGAAUCUACUUUUUCGUGGGGGAUUACGCAGGCAAACUUACGCUAAUACCGCAUACGACCUACGGGUGAACGCAGGGGAUCUUCGGACCUUGCGCGAUUGAAUGAGCCGAUGUCGGAUUAGCUAGUUGGCGGGGUAAAGGCCCACCAAGGCGACGAUCCGUAGGUGGUGUGAGAGGAUGAUCAGCCACACUGGAACGGAGCCACGGCCCAGACUCGUACGGGAGGCAGCAGAGGGGAGUAGUGGACAAAGGGCGCAAGCCUGAUCCAGCCAUACCGCGUAGGUGAAGGAGGCCUUCGGGUUGGAAAGCUCUUUUGUUGGGAAAGAAAAGCAGCAGGUUAAUACUCCGCGGUUCUGACGGUACCCAAUGAAUAAGCACCGGCUAACUUCGUG